rnacentral:tRNA from 1 species
GCGGGUGUGGCGAAAUUGGCAGACGCACUAGACUUAGGAUCUAGCGCCUAUGGCAUGCAGGUUCGAGUCCUGUCACCCGCACCA